CAAUGGUAUGGUCCGGGAAUCUUCUACGAAAGCAGUGAAGAAUUGGAAUUCGAUGUGUUCAAGAAGCUGGAGAAGCGCAAAGUACUUAGCAACGUAGAAAAGGCAGGACUACUCUCCAAGGCGGAGGAGCUGGGAUUCACACUGUCGUCACUAGAGAAGUUAGGUGUGUUUUCCAAAGCUGAGGAGUUAGGCCUUUUGAGUCUGUUGGAGAAGACAGUCAGUGUCUCUCCGUCCACUCUGGCUUCCGCUACGCUUCCGAUACUGGUAGUGGCGCUAGCAGCGAUCGUCGUAAUACCGGAUGAUUCGGCGGGGCUGGUGGCGGUGCAAGUUGUAUUGGCAGGUGCGCUUGUUGUUGGCGCUGCUGGGUUGUUUGUUGGGUCUGUUGUGCUUGGUGGGCUGCAAGAAGCUGACUGAGCCUGAGUUUUUGCUUUCUUGAUUUUGGGCAUUUUAAUUUUUUUUUUUAAUUUUAAAAUAAUGUGGACUGUGUGUGAUUAUAUUAAGGAAUGUAAAUGGCAG
rnacentral:misc_RNA from 1 species